AUUAGAGGCGCGGCUGUUCAUCAGUCACGCGGGGGAGCCGCUCAAGCGGCCAUGAGCCCGCGCAAAAGGGGACGCCGCCGAAAUGCAGGCCCGCUUGAGAGGGCAUGUGUUGGGCGACCGGAGAAUAUCCGGUCGACUGUCACAGUUCAUAUUGAACAGUGGAGCGCUAUUG
rnacentral:ncRNA from 1 species